GACGGAGGAUGCAAGCGUUAUCCGGAAUGAUUGGGCGUAAAGCGUCCGCAGGUGGCAGUUCAAGUCUGCUGUCAAAGACCGGGGCUUAACUUCGGAAAGGCAGUGGAAACUGGACAGCUAGAGUAUGGUAGGGGCAGAGGGAAUUCCUGGUGUAGCGGUGAAAUGCGUAGAGAUCAGGAAGAACAUCGGUGGCGAAGGCGCUCUGCUGGACCAUAACUGACACUCAGGGACGAAAGCUAGGGGAGCGAAUGGG
rnacentral:rRNA from 1 species